GAUGAACGCUGGCGGCGUGCCUAAUACAUGCAAGUCGAGCGAACGGACGAGAAGCUUGCUCCUCUGACGUUAGCGGCGGACGGGUGAGUAACACGUGGAUAACCUACCUAUAAGACUGGGAUAACUUCGGGAAACCGGAGCUAAUACCGGAUAAUAUAUUGAACCGCAUGGUUCAAUAGUGAAAGACGGUCUUGCUGUCACUUAUAGAUGGAUCCGCGCUGCAUUAGCUAGUUGGUAAGGUAACGGCUUACCAAGGCAACGAUGCAUAGCCGACCUGAGAGGGUGAUCGGCCACACUGGAACUGAGACACGGUCCAGACUCCUACGGGAGGCAGCAGUAGGGAAUCUUCCGCAAUGGGCGAAAGCCUGACGGAGCAACGCCGCGUGAGUGAUGAAGGUCUUCGGAUCGUAAAACUCUGUUAUUAGGGAAGAACAAAUGUGUAAGUAACUAUGCACGUCUUGACGGUACCUAAUCAGAAAGCCACGGCUAACUACGUG
rnacentral:rRNA from 1 species